CCUACGUGAGGCUGCAGUGAGGAAUAUUGGUCAAUGGCCGGAAGGCUGAACCAGCCAAGCCGCGUGAAGGACGAAGGUGCCAAGCAUUGUAAACUUCUUUUGUCAAGGGACAAAAUCCGGCUCGAUACCCUGACCUAUCGUACUUUACGAACAAGCAUCGGCCAACUCCGUUCUAGCAGCCGCGGUACUACGGAGGAUGCGAGCGUUAUCCGGUUUUAUUGGGUUUAAAGGGUGCGUAGGCGGACUGUUAAGUCAGCGGUAAAAGCCCGGGGCUCAACCCCGGCGAGCCGUUGAAACUGGCUGUCGUGAGAUGUCGAGAGGUAUGCGGAAUGCGCAGUGUAGCGGUGAAAUGCUUAGAUAUUGCGCAGAACUCCGAUUGCGAAGGCAGCAUACCGGCGGCGAUCUGACGCUGAGGCACGAAAGCGUGGGUAUCGAACAGGAUUAGAUACCCUGGUAGUC
rnacentral:rRNA from 1 species